rnacentral:rRNA from 1 species
AUUGAACGCUGGCGGCAGGCUUAACACAUGCAAGUCGAGCGGAGAUGAGGUGCUUGCACCUUAUCUUAGCGGCGGACGGGUGAGUAAUGCUUAGGAAUCUGCCCAUUAGUGGGGGACAACAUUCCGAAAGGAAUGCUAAUACCGCAUACGCCCUACGGGGGAAAGCAGGGGAUCUUCGGACCUUGCGCUAAUAGAUGAGCCUAAGUCGGAUUAGCUAGUUGGUGGGGUAAAGGCCUACCAAGGCGACGAUCUGCAGCGGGUCUGAGAGGAUGAUCCGCCACACUGGGACUGAGACACGGCCCAGACUCCUACGGGAGGCAGCAGUGGGGAAUAUUGGACAAUGGGCGGAAGCCUGAUCCAGCCAUGCCGCGUGUGUGAGGAAGGCCUUUUGGUUGUAAAGCACUUUAAGCGAGGAGGAGGCUACCUGGAUUAAUACUCUUGGAUAGUGGACGUUACUCGCAGAAUAAGCACCGGCUAACUCUGUGCCAGCCGCCGCGGUAACAC